rnacentral:lncRNA from 1 species
GCCCCCGCUCAGGGCCACCGAAGGGUCUGGGUACUCGGGGAGGGGGGAGGCGCGAUCCGGGUCCGUGGGAGCCUCCCCAGCCCCGCAGUCCCAGCAGCAAACCGAGCGUUGUCGGACGGAUGCUCGCGCGGAGGUCCAUUUCCAGAGCGUCUCUGAGGAAGAACAAGACAGAGAAUUCCUGGUUCAGUCCCUGGAGAAAGUCAACAGGGCAGCGAGUUUCUCUCCCUGGUGCUGCUCUGGAAGGAGGACUCAGUGGUAGAGGUUUAAGGGUGGAGGAGAGGGUGAUGGUGAUGAGGGCAGAUCCGGAGGUGAGGAAAGAGGAUUUUAUUACAAGUGGAACUGGAAGCCAUUCCUGGAAUGUAGACAUUUUGCCCCUGCCACCCAAUCUGCUUCCUAGACUGAGUCGGGGAAUGGUGUGGAUAGAAAUGGCAGUGGGGGACCAGCAAGCCUGUCUUCAGAGCAGAAGGAAGGAAACAAGGAAGGAAUGAGGGAGGGAGGAAGGAAGGAGGUUCAAGGCCUUCAAUUCUGAGCACUUAAAAACGUGUGUAUUUUUUUCUUAUUUCCAUAGUAAUAUAUACCUAUUGAGAAAAACUAGAAAUUUCAGAAAAGCACACGCACAAAAUAUGCCCUGCAGUCCUGCCCCCAGACUUAACGACUAUUAAUGUUUUGGGUGCGAUAAGAAGCUAUACUGAGGCUACAGGGAGCUGAACUGUAGGAAGGGAGAGAGGAAUGUCUAUUUUUUUGUUUAUACCUUUUUCUACUGUUUGAAUUUUUCUCAGGAGAAUGUCAAAUAAAACCGAGUUAAAAUAGCACAUAAUGCAACACUUUUCUAUAUAUUGAGAUUGUGUGCAUUGAUCUCUACGAAAAUAGGGGUCAUGGAGUUCCCGUCGUGGCGCAGUGGAAACGAAUCUGACUAGGAACCAUGAGGUUGUGAGUUCAAUCCCUGGCCUCGCUCAGUGGGUUAAGGAUCCGGUGUUGCCGUGAGCUGUGGUGAAGGUCGCAGACACAGCUUGGAUCUGGUGUUGGCUGUGGCUGUGGCGGAGGAUGGUGGCAGCAGCUCUGAUUAGACCCCUAGCCUGGGAACCUCUAUAUGCUGUGGGUGUGGCCCUAAAAAGACAAAAGACUAAAUAAAUAAAUAAAUAAAUAAAUAGAGACUUGAUAAUCCAGAGUAUUACCCAUCAUCUUUAAUGGUUUUGAAGUAUUCCAGAACAUGAAUGGCCAUGUUCUUAGGGUUGAACAUAUAAGUUGUUGCCAUUUUCCACAAUGGAUUAUAAUGAUAGUCCUUGAGAAGCCCACAGUCUGCUGGGAGAAACAGACAUGGGAAAAAGUCUGUGUAAUAAUACCACACUGCAUAACUGCUGGGAUAGUGGAGUGUCCAGGAAUGGCAGGGCUCAGCUUGCAGAAGUCAGGGAGGAACCAGGCUGCAAGUGAGAGGAGGGAGGUUGGCAGGGCUUUAGGCAAAGGUAUUGAGCUAUGAAGCACUUGGCCAGCUGCUGGAAGUGGGAGUCUUUAGGUAUGAACAAGAGAUGGACCUGCCCCAUCAGGGACUCCUAGGCAAGUCUUGGGUAUGCUUCCAUGCCCAGCAUUUGGCAUAGUGGUCAGUACAUGGUCAGUGUUUAUGGAUGAAUGAAUAAGUGGGAUAAAGAGAGAGGAGCUGGAGCAGUGGGCAGAGGCCAUGGCUUUGAUGGCCAGGCUGAGGGUUUGAAAUUUGCCUGGUCAGAGAGGGUCUCCCUGAAAGCCCUCACAUGGGAAUAGGAACAGUCACAUCUGCUCUCGUGGAAAGGUUCCUUUUGGUGCCCAGGGAGAAUGAGGGUGGCUUCAUAGACUGCAAAUAGAUGGUAGUACUGUUCCCCCAUAUUCAGUGUCCUUCCUUCACUGACGCUCCCUGCAGGAGGAUUAUACGUCCCAACUGUGGUGAACACACGCAUGGCCAUGUGACUUGUUCUGGCCAAUGAAAUAUGAAUGGAAGAGUUAGGUGACAUUUUUCAGGAACAGCGUUAAGGGAUGGUGAGUUUGGGAACUGCUGUGUUCCCAUUUCUCCCCCUUGGCCAUUGUGGACAUACUGGCCAAUGUGGAGUUCCCUUCAGCCUGCCUCUGCAAAUGACUAUAAUGAGGAGAAGCCCCUAGAUGACCUGUAAAAGGCAGGUAAACAUGAGUUGAGAAAUCAGUGACAUUGCUUUAAGCCAUUAAGAUUUGGGGAGCUCUUUGUUACUGUAGUAGAACAUUGCCAUGCUGAUUGACACACAAGGGAGCUGGAGGAGCUUAAUCCCUAAGUCCCUUCCAGAUGAGCAUAACAGGCUGAGAUUCUGCCAUGCUGGCUUUUCUAUGGCCUGGACCUGUGAGUCUACUCUUGGUUUACCUAAGGAUACUCAACCUCAAGUUCCUAUAAAAACCUAGACCCAUGCCUUUCUGCUAGACCCACUUUGAACCCCAUGAGUCCUUCUCAGGUGGAGAGAAACCUAUGGCAGAAGUUUACAGCAGUUCCCUGUUAAGAUUGGGCUCCUGGGAGUUUUAUAGGGUCCAAAACCCUAACAUCCAUGUUGGGAUAAGAGUAAGAGGAGGAGGCUAGUGAGCAAAGAUACACUCUCUUUCUGAAGAGGAAAUGGAGGCUGUCAUGUUACUUUAGCCCAAAUCCCUCGUGUUAUUAGACCCAGAAGCUGCCUCACCCAGAGGGUUGUGUCUCACAGGGCUGGAGGUCUACCGAAGGAUGUCCUUAGACACAGCAGCAUCAGGCUCAGCAAGCUCCCCAAGGAUCCAGGUCCUCCACUUCCGUCCUUCAUGCUGGCUUUAUCCUCAGGAAUAUUCCCUCUUCAUGAUUACAGGGUGGCUGCCUGGAGCCAUCAGGGAUGUGGAAUUGCCUGCUUCUUCAUGCCAAAGAGAGAAGAUGAAGGAAAAGGCUCCAGCCAAUCAAUGAACAUGCACUCCUUACCAUGGCAAAUGGCACUGACUGGCUCAGACCAGCCAUUCCCAACCCCAUCAGCCCACCCCUCAAAUUACUAUCCUCAUAAAAUCUGUAAAAAAUAGAACCCACUUACACAUGUAAUUGCAAAAACAUUAACGCAAUGUAUAAAGGAAACAUCAAAGGAAAUGUACAGUAAAAAUACAUUUAUUUCAAG